UGCUAAUACCGCAUAGGAAGUUUGUUCGCAUGAACAAACUUAGAAAGAUGGCUCUGCUAUCACUUAUCGAUGGCCUUGCGGUGCAUUAACUAGUUGGCGAGGUAACGGCUCACCAAGGUGAUGAUGCAUAGCCGACCUGAGAGGGUAAUCGGCCACAUUGGGACUGAGACACGGCCCAAACUCCUACGGGAGGCAGCAGCU
rnacentral:rRNA from 1 species